GCGGAAGUAGUUCAGUGGUAGAACACCACCUUGCCAAGAUGGGGGUCGCUCACUUCGAAUCCCGUCUUCCGCUCCA
rnacentral:tRNA from 1 species